rnacentral:rRNA from 1 species
CCUACGGGUGGCAGCAGUGAGGAAUGUUGGUCAAUGGACGAGAGUCUGAACCAGCCAAGUAGCGUGAAGGAUGACUGCCCUAUGGGUUGUAAACUUCUUUUAUAUGGGAAUAAAACGUUCCACGUGUGGGAUUUUGUAUGUACCAUAUGAAUAAGGAUCGGCUAACUCCGUGCCAGCAGCCGCGGUAAUACGGAGGAUCCGAGCGUUAUCCGGAUUUAUUGGGUUUAAAGGGAGAGUAGGUGGAUUGUUAAGUCAGUUGUGAAAGUUUGGGGCUCAACCGGAAAAUUGCAGUUGAAACUGGCAGUCUUGAGUACAGGAGAGGUGGGCGGAAUUCGUGGUGUAGCGGUGAAAUGCUUAGAUAUCACGAAGAACUCCGAUUGCGAAGGCAGUUCACUGGACUGCAACUGACACUGAGGCUCGAAAGUGUGGGUAUCAAACAGGAUUAGAUACCCUGGUAGUC